UACAGAGGUCUCAAGCGUUGUUCGGAUUCAUUGGGCGUAAAGGGUGCGUAGGCGGCGCGGUAAGUCGGGUGUGAAAUUUCGAGGCUUAACUUCGAAACUGCAUUCGAUACUGCCGUGCUUGAGGACUGGAGAGGAGACUGGAAUUUACGGUGUAGCGGUGAAAUGCGUAGAUAUCGGAAGGAACAUCAGUGGCGAAAGCGACUUCCUGGACCAAUACUGACGCUCAUGUGCGAAAGCGUGGGGAGCAAACAGG
rnacentral:rRNA from 1 species